GACGAACGCUGGCGGCGUGCUUAACACAUGCAAGUCGAACGGUGAACCUCUUCGCAGGGUUUCAGUGGCGAACGGGUGAGUCACACGUGGACAACCGGACCCCGGCCCUGGGAUAACUAGAAGAAAUUGGGACUAAUACGGGAAGUUCACCGCUUCCCGCAUGGGUGGUGGUGGAAAGGGUUACCGGCGGGGGAUGGUCCCGAGGCAUAUCAGCUUGUUGGCGGCGUAGUGGCAUACGAAGGCGACGAUGGGUAGCCGGCACGGGAACGUGAACGGCAAAAAGGGGACUGAGACACGGCCCAGUCGGCAACGGGAGGCAGCAGGUGAGAAUAUGGCGCAACGGGCGGAAGCCUGUGGCAGCAAUGCCGCGUGCGGGAAGACGGCCUACGGGUUGUAAACCUAUCUCAACAUAGCCGAGGCGAUAUUGACGGUACCUGCUGAAAAAGCAACGGCCAACUACGUG
rnacentral:rRNA from 1 species